rnacentral:rRNA from 1 species
AGUGAACGCUGGCGGUAGGCCUAACACAUGCAAGUCGAACGGCAGCACAGUAAGAGCUUGCUCUGACGGGUGGCGAGUGGCGGACGGGUGAGGAAUACAUCGGAAUCUACUUUUUCGUGGGAGAUAACGUAGGGAAACUUACGCUAAUACCGCAUACGACCUACGGGUGAAAGCAGGGCAUCUUCGGACCUUGCGCGGUUGAAUGAGCCGAUGUCGGAUUAGCUAGUUGGCGGGGUAAUGGCCCACCAAGGCGACGCUCCGUAGCUGGUCUGAGAGGAUGAUCAGCCGCACUGGAACUGAGACACGGUCCAGACUCAUACGGGAGGCAGCAGUGGGGAAUAUGGGACAAUGGGCGGAAGCCUGAUCCAGCCAUACCGCGUGGGUGAAGAAGGCCGUCGGGUUGUAAAGCCCUUUUGUUGGGAAAGAAAAGCAGCAGGUUAAUACCCCGCUGUUCUGACGGUAGCCAAAGAAUAAGCACCGGCUAACUUCGUG